rnacentral:rRNA from 1 species
UACGUAGGUGGCAAGCGUUGUCCGGAUUUACUGGGCGUAAAGAGCGCGCAGGCGGUCGUAUAAGUCGAAUGUGAAAGCCCACGGCUCAACCGUGGAGGGUCAUUGGAAACUGGGGAACUUGAGUGCAGAAGAGAAAAAGCGGAAUUCCACGUGUAGCGGUGAAAUGCGUAGAGAUGUGGAGGAACACCAGUGGCGAAGGCGGCUUUUUUGGUCUGUAACUGACGCUGAGGCGCGAAAGCGUGGGGAGCAAACAGG